GCGAACGGGUGAGUAACGCGUAGGAAUAUGCCUUAAAGUGGGGGACAACUUGGGGAAACUCAAGCUAAUACCGCAUAGAUCUCUGAGGAGAGAAGCUGGGGACCUUCGGGCCUGGCGCUUUAAGAUUAGCCUGCGUCCGAUUAGCUAGUUGGUGGGGUAAGGGCCUACCAAGGCGACGAUCGGUAGCUGGUCUGAGAGGAUGACCAGCCACACUGGAACUGAGACACGGUCCAGACUCCUACGGGAGGCAGCAGU
rnacentral:rRNA from 1 species